GCUCAGACGAACGCUGGCGGCGUGCCUAAUACAUGCAAGUCGAGCGGACAGAUGGGAGCUUGCUCCCUGAUGUUAGCGGCGGACGGGUGAGUAACACGUGGGUAACCUGCCUGUAAGACUGGGAUAACUCCGGGAAACCGGGGCUAAUACCGGAUGGUUGUCUGAACCGCAUGGUUCAGACAUAAAAGGUGGCUUCGGCUACCACUUACAGAUGGACCCGCGGCGCAUUAGCUAGUUGGUGAGGUAACGGCUCACCAAGGCGACGAUGCGUAGCCGACCUGAGAGGGUGAUCGGCCACACUGGGACUGAGACACGGCCCAGACUCCUACGGGAGGCAGCAGUAGGGAAUCUUCCGCAAUGGACGAAAGUCUGACGGAGCAACGCCGCGUGAGUGAUGAAGGUUUUCGGAUCGUAAAGCUCUGUUGUUAGGGAAGAACAAGUGCCGUUCAAAUAGGGCGGCACCUUGACGGUACCUAACCAGAAAGCCACGGCUAACUACGUGCCAGCAGCCGCGGUAAUACGUAGGUGGCAAGCGUUGUCCGGAAUUAUUGGGCGUAAAGGGCUCGCAGGCGGUUUCUUAAGUCUGAUGUGAAAGCCCCCGGCUCAACCGGGGAGGGUCAUUGGAAACUGGGGAACUUGAGUGCAGAAGAGGAGAGUGGAAUUCCACGUGUAGCGGUGAAAUGCGUAGAGAUGUGGAGGAACACCAGUGGCGAAGGCGACUCUCUGGUCUGUAACUGACGCUGAGGAGCGAAAGCGUGGGGAGCGAACAGGAUUAGAUACCCUGGUAGUCCACGCCGUAAACGAUGAGUGCUAAGUGUUAGGGGGUUUCCGCCCCUUAGUGCUGCAGCUAACGCAUUAAGCACUCCGCC
rnacentral:rRNA from 1 species